rnacentral:rRNA from 1 species
GACGAACGCUGGCGGCGGGCUUAACACAUGCAAGUCGAACGAACCCUUCGGGGUUAGUGGCGCACGGGUGCGUAACGCGUAGGCAACCUACCCUUGACUGAGGAAUAACUACCGGAAACGGUAGCUAAUACCACAUGACAUCAUUGAUACGCAUGUAUUGGUGAUUAAAGCUUUAUGUGGUCAAGGAUGGGCCUGCGUUGGAUUAGUUUGUUGGUAAGGUAACGGCUUACCAAGGCUACGAUCCAUAGCUGGUCUGAGAGGAUGAUCAGCCACACUGGCACUGAGACACGGGCCAGACUCCUACGGGAGGCAGCAGUGAGGAAUAUUGCGCAAUGGGCGAAAGCCUGACGCAGCCACGCCGCGUGGAGGAUGACACCCCUAUGGGGCGUAAACUCCUUUUAUGUGAGAAGAAGGUCCAAGUCGCUUGGAAUUGACGGUAUCACAUGAAUAAGCACCGGCUAACUCCG